GUUCACGGUCAUGCUACGUUGAAAACACCAUAUCUCGCCUGAUCUGUCAAGUUAAAUCAAGGUUGGGCCUGGUUGGUACUUGAAUUGGAGACCGCCUGGGAGUCUCAGAUGCCGCAAGCA
rnacentral:rRNA from 1 species